rnacentral:rRNA from 1 species
GACGAACGCUGGCGGCGUGCCUAAUACAUGCAAGUCGAACGCAGUGGGGACGGUUGAGUAACACGUGGGUAACCUCCCAUCAGAGGGGAUAAACCUUGGAAACAGGUGCUAAACCGAUACUGAUGGAUGGAACCGCGGUGCAUUCGCUAGUUGGUGAGGUAACGGCUCAACAAGGCCACGAUGCAUACACGACCGGAUAGGGUGACCUCCCACACUGGGACGGAGUCACGGCCCAUAUUCCUACGGGAGGCAGCAGUAGGGAAUCUUCGGCAAUGGACGAAAGUCUGACCGAGCAACGCCGCGUGAGUGAAGAAGGUUUUCGGAUCGUAAAACUCUGUUGUUAGAGAAGCGGUAUCUAACCAGAAAGCCACGGCUAACUACGUGCCAGCAGCCGCGGUAAUUC